ACAACAAAAAUUAAAUAACGCGUGUGUGUUCUUGUGCAGGCAUUGUGACAGAGAAGAGACAGCCUGACGAUGCGACACAGCCAUGGCCAUUGUACAAGCCCGUGUAUCUAAGUGUCGCACACCUGCUGACUGUUCCUGCCUUUGUUCGAGUGUUGGAAGUUUCUUGUCGUCACGCCACUCGGCUACAAUUAGUUUGCCAAAUACUGCCUCAUUACCUGUAUGACACACCUGGCAGCAAGUCUUGCCUUCUUUAACUACUGCAAUACUCCGUUUCCUGCAGCUUCUGUCGCAGCUUCAUAUGCCCAUGUCUCUCUGGUGGCGAUGACUGGUGGGAUUGUUUCUUGACUUUCUAACCGUGGUAUAAACCUUUGCUGCUAAAACGGCAUUAAGCAACUGCAUAAUACUAUAUACUACUUUUUCUGUUCCCCGUGGAGGGCAUGCUGUUCCUGGCUGUUCCUCCUUGCUGCGUCCAUGAGCUUUUGCUGUUCACAACUUUUUAAAACAAGUUAUUCAAAAGUUUUGUGGUUGUGCCAAAUCAUAAGCAGGAAAGAGUGGUAAAAGAAACAUGCCUGGACUUGCUCAUAUUGAAUUAUAUCUGCCUGAAAAUCUUCUCUCCUUGGUGAAAGAGAAUUGUUUCAGCAUGUUGUUGAUCUCGUCUGUGGGUUGCUGUCCAUACUUCUCACCUUGCAAGAAGCAAGUAAGCAAGUUUGCCUUGUUCAAAUAUUGUGGCACUAUAGUGACGAUGACCUGUGUCUAGUCGGUCAUGGUGAUGAUUGACAGGGGAGCACAGUCUGCUUUGACCAUGUAUUUAAAGCAAGUCUCGAUGCCUGGGAACUAUUUCCUGAACAAUGAACCUGAGAGAGCAGAUCUGAUGUGACGAGACCACUCCAAAGGCACUCAUGGAGGAAGUCUCGUAUAUUAGAAGAUGAGGUUACCGGUCAACACACCAUCCUCAUUUUGGAGAGAGAUGUGCUUCCGGAUGCGUUUCACUGUGACAUACUGUGUGUAAAGAAGGAACGACUGGAGAAGACUGGACAAUGCGAGCACUGUUGAAUAUUUCUACGAUUCCAGAUUCAAACAUCACCCUAAGCGGAAACCAGCUCACUUAAAAAGUAAACGUGAAUGAAAACAUAAAAUUAAAAUUUUUAGUUUGAACAAUCGAGGUUGACAGCGAGAUGGUUAAACCUGCUCUCGAAUGUAUUUUGCAUCUAGUUCAGCAAGCUUUUGAGCAGAAGCCAGACCAGAAGACAACCAAUUCUAAAUCCAAAUCCUUUGCAACGACAAGGAGGUGAAUGGAGAUCAGUGUCUCGUGGCAGUUCCAGCGACAGUAAGACGCAGAGAGAAGGAUCAUGAUGAGAGCAGCUGCAAAUGACGGGCAGAAGACUAAUGGGCACAACGCGAGAUGUUAAACGGAAACACUGGUCGCCCGGAGGCAGAUGAGACAGGCUUGAAAUACAAAGACACUGGGCAAAACUAUCAGGCUGGACAAAAAUAUCAGCUGGCAGUCCCAGUGAUUAGCAGCGUGCACACGUGUAUGCGUUCAAUCCGACCAAGGAAAGAGGGACAAACAAAAAGAAUAAAAGAAAAAAAUAAGAUGUUGCUGAUGACUUGUUUUAUUGCUUCAUGAAAUGGAUGGCCGCGAUCUCUUUAUCUUUAUAUGCGUGCCUGCUUACCUGCUUAUCCGUUUGUGUGU